GUCCCGUUCGUCUAGAGGCCCAGGACACCGCCCUUUCACGGCGGCGACACGGGUUCGAAUCCCGUACGGGACGCCA
rnacentral:tRNA from 1 species